AGUGGCGGACGGGUGAGUAACGCGUAAGAAUCUAACUUCAGGACGGGGACAACAGUGGGAAACGACUGCUAAUACCCGAUGUGCCGCGAGGUGAAACCUAAUUGGCCUGAAGAAGAGCUUGCGUCUGAUUAGCUAGUUGGUGGGGUAAGAGCCUACCAAGGCGACGAUCAGUAGCUGGUCUGAGAGGGUGAGCAGCCACACUGGGACUGAGACACGGCCCAGACUCCUACGGGAGGCAGCAGUGGGGAAUUUUCCGCAAUGGGCGAAAGCCUGACGGAGCAACGCCGCGUGAGGGAGGAAGGUCUUUGGAUUGUAAACCUCUUUUCUCAAGGAAGAAGUUCUGACGGUACUUGAGGAAUCAGCCUCGGCUAACUCCGUGCCAGCAGCCGCGGUAAUACGGGGGAGGCAAGCGUUAUCCGGAAUUAUUGGGCGUAAAGCGUCCGCAGGUGGUCAGCCAAGUCUGCCGUCAAAUCAGGUUGCUUAACGACCUAAAGGCGGUGGAAACUGGCAGACUAGAGAGCAGUAGGGGUAGCAGGAAUUCCCAGUGUAGCGGUGAAAUGCGUAGAGAUUGGGAAGAACAUCGGUGGCGAAAGCGUGCUACUGGGCUGUAUCUGACACUCAGGGACGAAAGCUAGGGGAGCGAAAGGGAUUAGAUACCCCUGUAGUCCUAGCCGUAAACGAUGGAUACUAGGCGUGGCUU
rnacentral:rRNA from 1 species